UUAUAAUACAGGUAAAAUUAAGGUUUCAUGCUUCAUAGUGUUAUCAUAAUGGAAGGAUACAUUACUAAACCUUUUUUCAAACAAAACAAAACCACAGACUUAGUCAAAAACCAGCAGGCGGUUAACUGAAGUAGGAGCAGCAUCAAAAAGGGUAAACAUGAUAUCCUGGGAAGUAGCAGACUUAGCCAGGCAGUCAGUCCGCCACCCGGUUGGCUUCCCUGCAGAUGAACUUUACACAUCUGGCUUAACAGAUUCCUGCACAUAUCAAGUAUAGGUAUAAGAAUAGAAUGAGCAGGAGGGGAAUGAAGCAAAUGCAGGACCAUUUUCGCAUCCGAUUCUAAAAUAAUUCUCCCAAAACCUAUGUCCCAUGCCAAAGAAAGGCCAUCUCUAAUGGCCCAUAACUCUGUAGCAGCUAUCAAAAUCCCGACCAGCUUCCGAGAUGUGCCACCAAUCCAAGUGCCAUUAGAAUCUGUUAAGACUGAGGCAGCACUCCCCCCUUUGAGGGACCUUGAGCAGCAGUCACCAAGCAAACAUCCGAAUUAAUCUCCAACCCUGGCAAGUGGAACCCAAGCAAUGAAAGAAAGGAGAGGAGGGGCAUGAUGCUUGAGAUAGGGGGGACCAAAAAACAUGUAGUUGAUUGUCUGGGUAAUCACAUUUUUAACAAUGAAAUCAAUCGAACCCUUGACUGCAUGAAACACAAGUCUAUUCCUGCUGAGCCACAUAAUAUUCCAAAUAGCAUAAGGAAACACAACUGACCAAGUAACUCCACUGGAAAUCAACAACUGGGAAUUUUGUAAAUUUACUCACAGCCGACUCGAAGUCCACACUUGUGCAAACUCAAAUUUAGCUCACGAUAAUUUGCCAUAGCUAGCUCUCAGCUUUAAUUAUAUGGUCGAUAGCAAGAAGUGAAGAAACAGCUAAAUAAGUAGAUGAUGAUACUACAGAGCGCUGGAGAAGAAAUUUUGAAAAUAAC
rnacentral:lncRNA from 1 species